AAAGUGCGAUACGCACUGUGAAUUGCAGAAUUCAGCGAAUCAGUAGAUCUCUCAACGCAAAUGGUGCUGGGUGACUUGUUCACUUAGCAGGCAUACUUCAGCGUUGCACUUAAUGCACUAAAACUGCAUUUUUGUACGACGUCAUCUUUUGGCGUUUGAAAUGUAAGCUUCGCUAAAGUAAACUGGCGAAUUUGUAGAUGCUCGACAUUAGCAACUCUUUCGUUCCGGAUGUUUGAGCGUCACACGUAACCAACCUGAGGUAUGUCAGACUACCCGCUGAACUUAA
rnacentral:misc_RNA from 1 species